rnacentral:rRNA from 1 species
AGGGGGGAUUUGCCAUGGGCGAAGCCUGAUGCAGCGACGCCGCGUGAGGGAUGACGGCCUUCGGGUUGUAAACCUCUUUCAGUAGGGAAGAAGCGAAAGUGACGGUACCUGCAGAAGAAGCACCGGCUAACUACGUGCCAGCAGCCGCGGUAAUACGUAGGGUGCGAGCGUUAUCCGGAAUUAUUGGGCGUAAAGAGCUCGUAGGCGGUUUGUCGCGUCUGUCGUGAAAGUCCGGGGCUUAACCCCGGAUCUGCGGUGGGUACGGGCAGACUAGAGUGCAGUAGGGGAGACUGGAAUUCCUGGUGUAGCGGUGGAAUGCGCAGAUAUCAGGAGGAACACCGAUGGCGAAGGCAGGUCUCUGGGCUGUAACUGACGCUGAGGAGCGAAAGCAUGGGGAGCGAACAGGAUUAGAUACCCUGGUAGUCCAUGCCGUAAACGUUGGGCACUAGGUGUGGGGACCAUUCCACGGUUUCCGCGCCGCAGCUAACGCAUUAAGUGCCCCGCCUGGGGAGUACGGCCGCAAGGCUAAAACUCAAAGGAAUUGACGGGGGCCCGCACAAGCGGCGGAGCAUGCGGAUUAAUUCGAUGCAACGCGAAGAACCUUACCAAGGCUUGACAUGUUCUCGAUCGCCGUAGAGAUACGGUUUCCCCUUUGGGGCGGGAUCACAGGUGGUGCAUGGUUGUCGUCAGCUCGUGUCGUGAGAUGUUGGGUUAAGUCCCGCAACGAGCGCAACCCUCGUUCCAUGUUGCCAGCACGUAAUGGUGGGGACUCAUGGGAGACUGCCGGGGUCAA